rnacentral:rRNA from 1 species
AUUGAACGCUGGCGGCAUGCCUAACACAUGCAAGUCGAGCGAGCGGCGGACUGGUGAGUAAUGUAUGGGGAUCUGCCCGAUAGAGGGGGCUAACUAGUGGAAACGGUGGCUAAUACUGCUUACUACCGGUUGAACCGUUAUGGGAUUAGCUAGUAGGUGGGGUAAAGGCUCACCUAGGCGACGAUCUCUAGCAGGUCUGAGAGGAUGAUCAGCCACACUGGGACUGAGACACGGCCCAGACUCCUACGGGAGGCAGCAGUGGGGAAUAUUGCACAAUGGGCGCAAGCCUGAUGCAGCCAUGCCGCGUGUAUGAAGAAGGCCUUAGGGUUGUAAAGUACUUUCAGCGGGGAGGCGUUACCCGCAGAAGAAGCACCGGCUAACUCCGUGCCAGCAGCCGCGGUAAUUC